GGUGGGGAUGUGGGUCUAUUUGUCAAUAACAGCUGGUGUGCGAUGUCUAAUUUUAAAGAAGUCUCAAGGUAUUGCUCGCCUGAGGUAGAGUAUCUUUAUGAUAAGCUGUAGACCACACUAUCUAACAAGAGAGUUCUCAUCUAUAUUAUUCGUAGCUGUCUAUUUACCACCACAGAACGAAAGUGGCACUAAGACCGCUCUCACCCAACUCUAUAAGGCCAUAAGCAAAGAAGAAAAUGCUCACCCAGAAGCGGCGCUCCUAGUGGCUGGGGACUUUAAUGCAGGCAAACUUAAAUCAGUUUUACCAAUUUUUUACCAGCAUGUUACAUGUGCAACCAGAGGGGAAAAAAAUCCUAGACCACCUUUACUCCACACACAGAGAUGCAUACAAAGCUCUCCCUCGCCCUCAAUUUGGCAAAUCUGACCAUAAUUCUAUCCUCCUGAUUCCUGAUUGUAAGCAAAAACUAAAGCAGGAAGUACCAGUGACUUGCUCAAUACGGAAGUGGUCAGAUGACGCGGAUGCUACACUACAGGACUGUUUUGCUAGCACAGACUGGAAUAUGUUCCGGGAUUCAUCCAAUGACAUUGAGGAGUACACCACCUCAGUCAUCGGCUUCAUCAAUAAGUGCAUCGAUGACAUCGUCUCCACAGUGACUGUACAUAUCCCAACCAGAAGCCAUGGGUUACAGACAAACCAUCAAACAAGUAAAGCGUCAAUACAGGAUUAAGAUUGAAUCCUACUACACCGGCUCUGACGCUCGUCAGAUGUGGCAGGACUUGAAAACUAUUAGACUACAAAAGGAAACCCAGACACGAGCUGUCCAGUGACGCGAGCCUACCAGACAAGCUAAAAGCCUUUUAUGCUGUUUUCGAGGCAAGCAACACUGAAGCAUGCAUGGGGUGAUAGGUAGCCUAGUGGUUAGAGCGUUGGACUGGUAACAGAAAGGUUGCAAGAUCGAAUCCCUGAGCUGACAAGGUAAAAAUCUGUCGUUCUGCCCCGAACAAGGCAUUUAACCCACUGUUCCUAGGCUGUCAUUGAAAAUAAGGACUUGUUCUUAACUGACUUGCCUAGUUAAAUAAAGGUAAGAAAAAAAUGCACGAAAGCACCAGCUGUUCUGGAUGACUGAUAAUGCUCUCGGUAGCCGAUGUGAACAAAACCUUUAAACAGGUCAACAUUCACAAAGCCCCUGGGCCAGACGAAUUACCAGGAUGUGUACUCAAAAUAUGCGCGGGUCAAGUGUCUUCACUGACAUUUUCAACCUCACCCUGACCGAGUCUGUAAUACCUACAUGUUUCAAGCAGACCACCAUAGUCCCUGUGCCAAAGGAAGUGAAGGUAACCUGCCUAAAUGAUUACCGCCCCGUAUCACUCACGUCGGUAGCCAUGAAGUGCUUUGAAAGGCUGGUCAUGGCUCACAUCAACAGCAUCCUCCCGGACACCCUAGACCCACUCCAAUUCGCAUACCGCCCCAACAGAUCCACAGAUGACGCAAUCUCUAUUGCACUCAACACUGCCUUUUCCCACCUGGACAGAAGGAACACCUAUGUGAGAAUGCUGUUCAUUGACUACAGCUCAGCGUUCAACACCAUAGUGCCCACAAAGCUCAUCACUAAGCUAAGGACUCUGGGACUACAAACCUACCUCUGCAACUGGAUCCUGGACUUCCUGACGGGCCGUCCCCAGGUGGUAAGAGUAGGCAACAACACGUCUGCCACGCUGAUCCUCAACACUGGGGUCCCUCAGGGGUGUGUACUCCUGUACUCCCUGUUCUCCCACGACUGCGUGGCCAAACACAACUCCAACAUCAUCAUUAAGUUUGCUGAUGACACAAGUGGUAGGCCUGAUCACCGACAACGAUGAGAUGUCCUAUAGGGAGGAGGUCAGAGAACUGGCAGUGUGGUGCCAGGACAACAACCUCUCCCUCAAUGUGAUCAAGACAAAGGAGCUGAUCGUGGACUACAGGAAAAGGCAGUCCAAACAGGCCCCCAUUAACAUUGACGGGGCUGUAGUGGAGAGGGUCGAGAGUUUCAAGUUCCUUGGUGUCCACAUCACCAACAAACUAUCAUGGUCCAAACAUACCAAGACAGUUGUGAAGAGGGCACGACAAAACCUUUUCCCCCUCAGGAGACUGAAAAGAUUUGGCAUGGGUCCCUAGAUCCUCAAAAGGUUCUACAGCUGCACCAUCGAGAGCAUCCUCACCGGUUGCAUCACUGCCUGGUAUGGCAACUGCUUGGCAUCUGACGGUAAGGCGCUACAGAGGGUAGUGCGUACGGCCCAGUGCAUCACUGGAGCUAAACUUCCUGCCAUCCAGGACCUAUAUAAUAGAAGGUGUCAGAGGAAACUCCAGUCACCCAAGUCAUAGACUGUUUUCUCUGCUACUUCACGGCAAGCAGUACCGUAGUGCCAAGACUAGGACCAAAAGGCUCCUCAACAGCUUCUACCCCCAAGCCAUAAGACUGCUGAACAAUUAUUAAAAUCGGCAUCGGACUAUUUACAUUGACCUCCCCUCCCUUUUGUACACUGCUGCUACUCGUUGUUCAUUAUCUAUGCAGAGUUAGUUCACCCUAUCUACAUGUACAAAUUACCUCAACUAACCUGUACCCCCGCACACUGACUCGGUAUCGGUGACCCCUGUAUAUAGCCUCGUUAUUCUUAUUGUGUUACUUUUUAUUAUUAUUUUUUACUUCAGUCUAUUUGGUAAAUAUUUCCUUAACUCUUCUUGAACUGCACUGUUGGUUAAGGGCUUGUAAGUAAGCAUUUCACAGUAAGGUCUACACUUGUUGUAUACGGUGCAUGUGACAAAGUUUGGUUUGAUGAGGUGACUACCUCAAGCUCUAAACUCUCGAAGGUAGUAAUCACACCUGCGGGGAGAGGGGCAUUCUUCUUACCAAACCACAUUACCUUUGUUUUGUAGGUGUUCAGAACAAGGUUAAGUGUACAGAAAGCUUGUUGGACACUAAGAAAGCUUUGUUGUAGAGCAUUUAACACAAAGCCCGGGGAGGGGCCUGCUGAGAAUAAAACUGUAUCAUCUCCAUAUAAAUGGAUGAGAGAGCUUCCUACUGCCUGAGCUAUGUUGUUGAUGUAAAUUCAGAAGAGCGUGGGGCCUAGGAUUGAGCCUUGGGGUACUCCCUUGGUGACAGGCAGUGGCUGAGACAGCAGAUCUUCUGAUUUUAUACACUGCACUCUUUGAGAGAGGUAGUUAGCACACCAGGCCAAAGACCCCUCAGAGACACCAAUACUCCUUAGCCGGCCCACAAGAAUGGAAUGGUCUGCCAUAUCAAAAGCUUUGACCAAGUCAAUAAAAAUAGCAGCAGAACAUUGCUUAGAAUCAAGGGCAAUUGUGACAUCAUUGAGGACCUUUAAGGUUGCAGUGACACAUCCAUAACCUGAGUGGAAACCAGAUUGCAUACCAGAGAGAAUACUAUAGACAUCAAGAAAGCCAUUCAGUUGAUUAUUGACACAUUUUUCCAACACUUUUGAUAAGGAGGACAACAUAGAAAUAGGCCUAUAACUGUUAGGAUCAGUUUGAUCUCCCACUUUAAAUAAAGGAUAAACAGUGGCUUGGAAAAGCAAUGGGGAACCUCCCCAGAAAGGAUAGACAGGUUAAAAACUUCGGAGAUAGGCUUGGCAAUGAUUAGGGCUGCAACCUAAAUGAAGAAAGGGUCUAAACCAUCUGACCCAGAUUGUUUUUUGGGGUAAAGUUUCAGGAGCUCCUUUAGCACCUCAGACUCAGUGACUGCCUGCAGGGAGAAACUUUGUAGCGGGGCAGGGAGAAGUAUCAGGGAUAGUCGCAUUAGAAGGGGUGGGAGAUGAGGAAAUGUUGGAUGGGCAAUGAGGCAUGGCAGAGUCAAAUGGGAAUCCUGACUUAAUGAAGUGGUGAUUUAAAGAGCUGUGUUUGUUGUAAGUAACAACCACAUCAUCAACUUUAAGGGACAUGGGCAGCUGUGAGGAGGAGGGUUUAUUCUCCAGGUCUUUAACCGUUAAAUUGAAUAUCACUGACACCAUGAUUUGACAUUGUUGUUUUCCGAGGUCCCAGUUCUCUUGAAUACACAAAAAAAUAUAUACUUGCAACGGACUGCCUUUGGAACGAGCACAGAGCGCGGGAACCCGCAUCUCCAUCCCCUUUGCACGUACAGUUGAAGUUGGAAGUUUACAUACCCUUAGGUUGGAGUCAUUAAAACUCGUUUUUCAACCAGUCCACAAAUUUCUUGUUAACAAACUAUAGCUUUUUCAAGUCGGUUAGGACAUCUACUUUCUGCAUGGCACAAGUAAUUUUUCAAACAAUUGUUUACAGACAGAUUAUUUCACAUAUCAUUCACUAUAUCACAAUUUCUGUGGGUCAGAAGUUUACAUACACUAAGUUGACUGUGCCUUUAAACAGCUUGGAAAAUUCCAUAGAAUGAUGUCAUGGCUUUAAAAGCUUCUGAUAGGCUAAUUGACAUCAUUUGAGUCAAUUGGAGGUUUACCUGUGGAUGUACCUUCAAACUCAGUGCCUCUUUGCUUGACAUCAUGGGAAAUUCAAAAGAAAUCAGCCAAGACCUCAGAAAAAAUAUUGUAGACCUCCACAUGUCUGGUUCAUCCUUGAGAGCAAUUUCCAAACACCUGAAGGUACCGCGUUCAUCUGUACAAACAAUAGUACGCAAGUAUAAACAUCAUGGGACCAUGCAGCCAUCAUUCCACUCAGGAAGGAGACGCGUUCUGUCUCCUAGAUGAACGUACUUUGGUGCAAAAAGUGAAAAUCAAUCCCAGAACAACAGCAAAAGACCUUGUGAAGAUGCUGGAGGAAACAGGUCCAGAACUAUCUGUAUCCACAGUAAAAUGAGUCCUAUAUUGCCAUAACCUGAAAGGCCGCUCAGCAAGGAAGAAGCCACUGCUCCAAAACCGCCAUAUAAAAGCCAGACUACGGUUUGCAACUGCACUUGCGGACAACGAUUGUACUUUUUGGAGAAAUGUACUCUGGUCUGAUGAAACAAAAAUAGAACUGUUUGGCCAUAAUGACCAUUGUUAUGUUUGGAGGAAAAAGGGGGAGGCUUGCAAGCCAAAGAAGACUCCCUACCGUGAGCACAGGGGUGGCAGCAUCAUGUUGUGGAGGUGCUUUGCUGCCAGAGGGACUGGUGCACUUCACAAAAUAGAUAGCAUCAUGAGGAAGGACAAUUAUGUGGAUAUAUUGAAGCAACAUCUCAAGACACCAGUCAAGAUGUUAAAGCUUGGUCGCAAAUGGGUCUUCUAAAUGGUCAAUGACCCCAAGCAUACUUCCAAAGUUGUGGCAAAAUGGUUUGUGGACAACAACGUCAGGGUAUUGGAGUGGCCAUCACAAAGCCCUGACCUCAAUCCCAUAGAACAUUUGUGGGCAGAACUGAAAAAGUGUGUGCGAGCAAGGAGGCCUACAAACCUGACACAGUUACACCAGCUCUAUCAGGACAAAUGGGACAAAUUUACCCCAAUUUAUUGUGGGAAGCUUGUGGAAGGCUACCUGAAACUUUUGACCCAAGUUAACAAUUUAAAGGCAAUGCUACCAAAUACUAAUUCAUUGUAUGUAAACUUCUGACCCACUGGGAAUGUGGUGAAAUAAAUAAAAGCUGAAAUAAAUCACUCUACUAUUAUUCUAACAUUUCACAUUCUUAAAAUAAAGUGGUGAACCUAACUGACCUAAGACAGGGGAUUUUAACUCUGAUUAAUUGUCAGGAAUUGUGAAAAACUGAGUUGAAAUGUAUUUGGCUAAGGUGUAUGUAAACUUCCCACUUCAACUGUAUGUGACAAGACCUAAACAGACCGACGGCCAAUUGAUAGAUUGUAACAUUGCCCAGGCCUACUAUAUCUUAUCAUUGUUUUUUGAGUGUGUAUAGGAAAAGAGCACAUCAGUCCAGUCUAAAUCUCUAUCCAUCUGACAAGGUAACCAACAACCAGGUGUUCACCUCCGCAUUGAAUUCCAUUUAGCCACAAAAACUAGCCUAAGAGCCAAAACACAGGUUUGCAUGAACUCUCCUCCUGUCACAACACAGACUGUACAGUACAAAAAAAUAUGUUUUCUAGAGAUGGCACUCUCUAACCCAGCACUCUCAGUAAACACAGCCAUAGCUGUGCUGAAGCACCCUCCUGAAAAAUCGUAAUAAAAAAAUAAGAUAAAAUUAAAAUAAACUAGCGCAACACCCCCAGCCUCAAACUACUUCCCGCGGCUAUGAACACAUCUACAAACAUGCUCUCAUACCUGUCCUGUCAGUAAAACUAGUAAGAUAGAAAUGUACACAUAGCUACAUACCUUUCUCCACUAUAGGUUACCUUUUUUUUUGCUCACAACUCUAUGCAGGCUUAAGGCUGUACCUACUGCUCCGGCCUCUAGGUCACCAGGCUGCUCGUUAUGGUGCACACCUGUCACCAUUAUGACACUCACCUUGACUCAUCACCUCCUUGAUUACCUGCUCUAUAUAUGUCACUCCCUUUGGAUCCUUCCCCAGGUGUCAUUGUUUCUGUUUCUUGUCUGGGCGUUGUUCGUGUUACUUGUUUUGUUUAUAAAAAAAAACACUCCCUGAACUUGCUUCCUGACUUUCAACGCACAUCGUUACAGAAUAAUGCCUCACCAAAGGCCAUUCUGAAGUGAUGUCGGGUCCGGGUGUUAAAAUCGGAGCUACCUGGGAG
rnacentral:lncRNA from 1 species